rnacentral:rRNA from 1 species
UACGAAGGGUGCAAACGUUGCUCGGAAUCAUUGGGCGUAAAGCGCACGUAGGCGGCUUUGCAAGUCGGAUGUGAAAUCCCGUGGCUCAACCAUGGACGUGCAUUCGAAACUGCAAAGCUUGAGUAUGGAAGAGGGUCGCGGAAUUCCCGGUGUAGAGGUGAAAUUCGUAGAUAUCGGGAGGAACACCAGUGGCGAAGGCGGCGACCUGGGCCGAUACUGACGCUGAGGCACGAAAGCGUGGGGAGCAAACAGG